GUUCAACGGCCGCGGUAUCCUAACCGUGCAAAGGUAGCAUAAUCACUUGUCCUAUAAAUGAGGACUCGUAUCAACGGCAUCACGAGGGCUAUACUGUCUCCUUUUUCCAAUCAGUGAAACUGAUCUCCCCGUGAAGAAGCUGGGAUUUUAAUAUAAGACGAGAAGACCCCAUGGAGCUUUAAAUUAUGUACUUACUUUGUGCAAAAAUAUCAACAAAGCUAAAAAAAUUUAAGUACCAUUUUAGGUUGGGGCGACCGCGGAGCACAAAUUAACCUCCACAACAAACAGGCCAUACCUUUAUCCACGAGCUACACCUCUAAGAAUUAACAUAUUAAUGUUUAAUGACCCGAAUCCUCGAUCAAUGAACCAAGUUACCCUGGGGAUAACAGCGCAAUCUAUUUCAAGAGUCCAUAUCGACAAAUAGGUUUACGACCUCGAUGUUGGAUCAGGGUAUCCAAGUGGUGCAGCCGCUACUAAUGGUUCGUUUGUUC
rnacentral:rRNA from 1 species